rnacentral:rRNA from 1 species
AUGACGACCAAGCUUACGGCAAUAGCCUUUUUCCUGCUCCUGCUCACCUUUGGUGAGUCCAGCGACAGGGUUGAACCUCCAUCUUCUCAAGAGAACGCUUUUGAUACGAGUGCUUAUGCGGUUCAUUGGGACCCAGAUCAUGCACCAUCUGAAGAAAAAGGUUUCGGUGAAAGUUCUUAUGCGGUACACUGGGAUCCAGAUCACACACCUUCAAAAGAAAACGGUUUUGGUGCGAGUGCUUAUGCGGUACAUUGGGAGCCAGAUCACUCACCUUCAAAAGAAAAUGGAUUCGGUGAAAGUGCUUAUGCGGUACAUUGGGAUCCAGAUCACUCACCUUCAAAAGAAAAUGGAUUCGGUGAAAGUGCUUAUGCGGUGCAUUGGGAUCCAGAUCACGCUCCUUCAAAAGAAAACGGGUUUGGUGAAAGUGCGUAUGCAGUACAUUGGGAUCCAGAUCAUGCCCCUUCAAAAGAAAACGGUUUCGGUGAGAGUGCUUAUGCGGUACAUUGGGAUCCAGAUCAUGCACCUUCAAAAAAUGGUUUCGAUGAGAGUGCUUAUGCAGUUCAUUGGGAUCCAGAUCAUGCACCUUCAAAAGGAAAUGGGUUUGCUGAAAGUUCUUAUGCGGUGCAUUGGGAUCCAGAUCGUGCCCCUUCAAAAGACAAGGGUUUUGGUGAAAGUGCUUAUGCAGUACAUUGGGAUCCAGAUCAUGCACCUUCUAAAGAAAAUGGUUUUGGUGCAAGUGCGUAUGCGGUACAUUGGGAUCCAGAUCACACACCUUCAAAAGAAAAUGGUUUUGGUGCAAGUGCUUAUGCGGUACAUUGGGAUCCAGAUCACUCACCUUCAAAAGAAAAUGGUUUUGGUGCAAGUGCUUAUGUGGUGCACUGGGAUCCAGAUCACUCACCUUCAAAAGAAAAUGGUUUUGAUGCAAGUUCUUAUGCGGUACAUUGGGAUUCAGAUCAUGCUCCUUCUCAACAAAACGGUUUUGGUGAGGGUGCUUAUGCAGUGCACUGGGAUCCAGAUCAUUCACCUUCAAAAGGAAAUGGGUUUGGUGAAAGUGCUUAUGCGGUUCAUUGGGAUCCAGAUCGUGCCCCUUCAAAAGACAAGGCUUUUGGUGAAAGUGCUUAUGCAGUACAUUGGGAUCCAGAUCAUGCCCCUUCAAAAGAAAAUGGUUUUGGUGCAAGUGCUUAUGCGGUACAUUGGGAUCCAGAUCACUCACCUUCAAAAGAAAAUGGUUUUGAUGCAAGUGCUUAUGCGGUACAUUGGGAUCCAGAUCACUCACCUUCAAAAAAUGGUUUUGGUGAUAGUACUUAUGCGGUACAUUGGGAUCCAGACCAUGAACAUUCAACUUCUGCUGUUCCUGAAGCACAAGCCAAACGCCACCAGAUAAAAGUUCAAACUGGCAUGUUGUUCUUGAAGAAGAAUCUGCGCGUUGGCACUGUACUGCCGCAAGGGACCAUGUUUGCACGAGGUGGUUCACCAAAGUCUGUCAAUUCUGUCAAUACUCCAUUGGAGUCAAAGUACUUGGCAACCAUCCUUUCACAUUACAAGAUACCUCACAGCUCGAUGAAGGCCAAGCAGGUUGCUGACACCCUUCAUUCAUGCGGCAAACCGGCUGACAAGGAGGAGCCUCACAUGUGCUUCUCAUCUCGCGAAGCAAUGGCCAGAUUCGCUACCAAAUCUUUGGGAGUCAGCGGCGCACGAGCAGCCAUUACAAGAAUUCAUGGGCAUGAAACCCCCAACACCAUGUAUGUUGUGGCACAGAUCGCCCAAUUCAGCAAUAAUUCGGUCCCAUGCCACCCUAUGGAUUUCCCCUAUGAGGUUUUUUGUUGCCAUAGGCCAAGAGAGGUGCAGUCUUUGACGGUGCAACUCAAGGGCUUGAAAGAUGGAACACCAGGUGUGACGGCAACAGCCAUGUGCCACAUGAACACAUCUGAUUGGGACCAGCAGUACUUUGAGCUGUUAGGCGGAGAGCGUGGUGAACCUAUUUGCCACUACAUGCCUACCAAUUACAUCAUGUUCUAUUAG